GACGAACCGUGCGAACGUUGUUCGGAAUCACUGGGCUUAAAGGGCGCGUAGGCGGGCGACCAAGUCAGGGGUGAAAUCCCGCAGCUCAACUGCGGAAGUGCCUUUGAUACUGGUUGUCUCGAGGGAGGUAGGGGCAUGCGGAACUUCCGGUGGAGCGGUGAAAUGCGUAGAUAUCGGAAGGAACGCCGAUGGCGAAAGCAGCGUGCUGGACCUCUUCUGACGCUGAGGCGCGAAAGCCAGGGGAGCAAACGGG
rnacentral:rRNA from 1 species